UAAGGAAUAUUGGUCAAUGGACGCAAGUCUGAACCAGCCAUGCCGCGUGGAGGAUGACGGUCCUCUGGAUUGUAAACUUCUUUUAUUUGGGAAGAAAACCUCUGAUUAUUCGGAGCUUGACGGUACCAGAUGAAUAAGCACCGGCUAACUCCGUGCCAGCAGCCGCGGUAAUACGGAGGGUGCAAGCGUUAUCCGGAUUCACUGGGUUUAAAGGGUGCGUAGGCGGAUAGGUAAGUCCGUGGUGAAAUCUCUCGACUUAAUCGGGAAACUGCCAUGGAUACUAUUUAUCUUGAAUGUUGUGGAGGUUAACGGAAUAUGUCAUGUAGCGGUGAAAUGCUUAGAUAUGACAUGGAACACCAAUUGCGAAGGCAGUUAACUACACAAAUAUUGACGCUGAUGCACGAAAGCGUGGGGAUCAAACA
rnacentral:rRNA from 1 species